rnacentral:rRNA from 1 species
UACAGAGGUCUCAAGCGUUGUUCGGAUUCAUUGGGCGUAAAGGGUGCGUAGGCGGCGCGGUAAGUCGGGUGUGAAAUCUUGGAGCUUAACUCCGAAACUGCAUUCGAUACUGCCGUGCUCGAGGACUGGAGAGGAGUGCGGAAUUCCAGGUGUAGCGGUGAAAUGCGUAGAUAUCUGGAGGAACACCGGUGGCGAAGGCGGCAUUCUGGACCGACAUUGACGCUGAGGCGCGAAAGCCAGGGGAGCAAACGGG